AGUGAACGCUGGCGGUAGGCCUAACACAUGCAAGUCGAACGGCAGCACAGUAAGAGCUUGCUCUUACGGGUGGCGAGUGGCGGACGGGUGAGGAAUACAUCGGAAUCUACUUUUUCGUGGGGGAUAACGUAGGGAAACUUACGCUAAUACCGCAUACGACCUACGGGUGAAAGCAGGGGAUCUUCGGACCUUGCGCGAUUGAAUGAGCCGAUGUCGGAUUAGCUAGUUGGCGGGGUAAAGGCCCACCAAGUCGACGAUCCGUAGCUGGUCUGAGAGGAUGGUCGGCCACCCUGGAACUGGGACACGGACCAGAGUCCUACGAGAGGCAGCAGUGGGGAAUAUUAGACAGUAGGCGCGAGCCUGAUCCAGCCAUACCGAGUGGGUGAAGAAGGCCUUCGGGUUGUAAAGACCUUUUGUUGGGAGAGAAAAGCAGCAGGUUAAUACGCCGCUGUUCUGACGGUACCCAAAGAAUAAGCACCGGCUAACUUCGUG
rnacentral:rRNA from 1 species